GUCUGAAUGUGAUUCUCACACUCCUUCAGGUUGCACAACCUCAGCUUGAUUCCCUUCUUGUCUGCAAUGUCUUGAACCCUUUCCUUCAGAACUCUCUGGGCCUCGACCCACAAUCUCUUGGAAGGUGGCAGAGGUUUGGUUCUUUCACUCUUUCUCCUCCUCAACAAAGGCUUCAUAGAUCCUGUACCAGCAUUUCAUCGAUC
rnacentral:lncRNA from 1 species